CAGUAGCCGCGGUAAUACGGAGGGUGCAAGCGUUAAUCGGAAUUACUGGGCGUAAAGCGCACGCAGGCGGUCUGACAAGUCAGAUGUGAAAUCCCCGGGCUUAACCUGGGAACUGCAUUUGAAACUGUCAGGCUGGAGUCUUGUAGAGGGGGGUGGAAUUCCAGGUGUAGCUGUGAAAUGCGUAGAGAUCUGGAGGAAUACCGGUGGCGAAGGCGGCCCCCUGGACAAAGACUGACGCUCAGGUGCGAAAGCGUGGGGAGCAAACAGGAUUAGAUACCCCUGUAGUCCCUGUCUCUUAUAC
rnacentral:rRNA from 1 species